rnacentral:rRNA from 1 species
UACGUAGGGUGCAGGCGUUAAUCGGAAUUACUGGGCGUAAAGCGUGCGCAGGCGGUCUUUUAAGUCAGACGUGAAAUCCCCGGGCUUAACCUGGGAACUGCGUUUGAAACUGGAAGGCUAGAGUGUGGCAGAGGGGGGUGGAAUUCCACGUGUAGCAGUGAAAUGCGUAGAUAUGUGGAGGAACACCGAUGGCGAAGGCAGCCCCCUGGGCUAACACUGACGCUCAUGCACGAAAGCGUGGGGAGCAAACAGG